AUUGAACGCUGGCGGCAGGCCUAACACAUGCAAGUCGAACGAGUGGCGGACGGGUGAGUAAUGUCUGGGAAACUGCCUGAUGGAGGGGGAUAACUACUGGAAACGGUAGCUAAUACCGCAUACCAUCAGAUGUACCCAGAUGGGAUUAGCUUGUUGGUGGGGUAACGGCUCACCUAGGCGACGAUCCCUAGCUGGUCUGAGAGGAUGACCAGCCACACUGGAACGGAGAAACGGUCCAGACUCCUACGGGAGGCAGGAGUGGGGAAUAUUGGACAAUGGGCGGAAGCCUGAUGGAGCCAUGCCGCGGGGAUGAAGGAGGCCUUCGGGGUGUAAAGUACUUUCAGCGGGGAGGCGUUACCCGCAGAAGAAGCACCGGCUAACUCCGUGCCAGCAGCCGUGGUAAUAC
rnacentral:rRNA from 1 species